UCCGUAGGUGGAUAAUUAAGUCAGAGGUGAAAUCCUGCAGCUCAACUGUAGAAUUGCCUUUGAAACUGGUUAUCUUGAAUUAUUGUGAAGUGGUUAGAAUAUGUAGUGUAGCGGUGAAAUGCAUAGAUAUUACAUAGAAUACCAAUUGCGAAGGCAGAUCACUAACAAUAUAUUGACACUGAUGGACGAAAGCGUGGGGGGCGAACAGGAUUAGAUACCCUGGUAGUCC
rnacentral:rRNA from 1 species